CCGCCCGCCGCCGCCCGCAGCCCAUCCCGGCCGGCCACCCGCCACCCGCCACCCGCAGGUCCCAGCCGCCCCGCCACCCAUAGGCCCCUCCCUAGCCUGCGACCCGCCACUCCAUCCGGCGGCGCGGCGUGGGGAUCUCGCCGCCACUCACGGCCACACGCCGUGGGGAUCCCGCCGCCGCUCCUGCUCUCUCUCUCCCUCCCGCACCAUACUCCUCCCUCCCAGACUACCCGUGUUGCAGCUAGCUCGCUAUCUAUGGUGACGCUUGCUGGAAGGUGACGGAAGACUGGACGCCGGCGACCUCACUCUCUACUGCUUGGCCGAAGCUCCAUUCUGUUUUGAGUCUUCUGCGAAUCUGACGAGCUAGACUAGGAGGUCCAGUCCAGAAUCGAUGGAUGUAUCAAUUUGAAAGGAGAUGGAGGGGCUUCGACAUAAGGAAGUCAUCGCGUGCUGGUACUAGUGGAGGCAACAACCAAGGUACUGGUGGAGGCAGCAGCCAAGGUAUUGGUGGAGGUGGAGGCAGCAGCCAAGGUACUGGUGGAGGCAGCAGCCAAAGGAGCGUUACUUGCCAUGGAGAUCACCCCAGCAAAAGGAACAUCCAAAUAUCUAAUUCUGGCGGUAUUGCAGCUGAAAGAAACAACGAGAUACCCAUCUGUGUAGAAACAAGAGGGAGGCAAAAGAGGUCAAGGACUGAGCUGAGAAACGACGAGAUACCCAACUCUGGUGGCAUUGUAGCUAGAAGGAAUAGCUAACUCCGGAGGAGGAACUGAUUCUGUUCGUACUAAAAGGGCAGCAGCUGUAGAAACAAGAGGGAGGCGCAAGAGGUCAAGGACUGAGAUGAGAAAUCCUCUACGAGGACGGAAAGUGGUCCUUAUACCUCAGGGCAAUUCACGUACAGAGACUAUACUUGCGGUGACUACAAGUACACCACCCAGCUUGGAUGUAUUCUGAAACGACAAUACCCUGGUGUUUUGAAGGACGCGGAUGGAGAAUUAUAUCCAGCAACGACAUGGGCGGAUUUCUAUGAGAAGACUAAUGACCAAGGAGAGACAUGUGCACACAAAGUGAAGAAGGAAUUUUGGCGUUUGUUCACCGUGGCUGAUGAACACAAGCGAGAGGCUGCCCGUGUUCUUGAAAACUAUUGUAGAAAGAGAGUUCGGAACAUAAUGUACCAAGUUCGGGUGGAUGCUGUGAAGCUGCAUUAUGAGAACCAAGGAGAGAUUCUUGAUGACACUCUUGCAUGUCGUAGAGAACUUGAUGAGAAUGAGUACCUCAAUGUUAGGGUAGAAUGGUGCAAAAAGGAUGUUUGGCCCCUUCUUGCUGCAUACUGGGAUAGUGCUGAGUUCAAGGAAAAAAGAUCAAAAGCCCAAGAUUCUUGCUUUGGUUCUGAAAAUAAUGCUCAAAACAGAGGGGGUUCACGCCCAUUUACGGAGACACAACAAUACAUUGAAGCUAUACAUGGACCCGAAAAGGCUACAAUUUUGAACAAAUAUGCCGUCAUGAAAUCAGGUGCCAAGAAUAUGGACAGUAAUGGAAGUAGUGGAGCAAUCCCCAGCCAGAAAGCACAAAAGCGCAUGAGGGACUACUAGGAAAGAGUUGCAGCUGCACAUCCAAAUGAUUCAGAGCAGCCAUAAGUAGAUGGACAUGUCUUGUACACAAAGGGCGGUGGUCUGCCUCAUGGCCGCUUUCUUAUAGGAGAUGGCGCUGUGAGAAAGGCGGAUGUUGUUGCUGCAGCUAAAGGAAGGAAAGCUAGGCCAUCAACUUCUGAUUCUUAUUGACACUUGUCCGAAGAGAAUCACCAACUCCGACGUGCUAACGAGGGCCUAACACAACACAAUCAACAUCUAACCCAGCAACAAGAGGUUGACCACGAACUGAUCAUGAUGCUUUUUGCUGAGCUUGGAAAGGAACCACCAGGACAUUUAUUGAGUUGUCGGCAACAGGUUCAAGCGCAGUUUCAGAGGGCACCUGGUUCUUCACAUGCUGGCUCACAAUCAAUCUAGAAUUAUUGAAUGGAUGGUGCUGGAACAAGUGCUAAUGGCAACAACAACAAUGCUACCAAUCUGGAGAUCAAUGACACUGCUACCGACUUGGACAAAAAUGGGAGACUCAAUGUAGAUGGGGAGAAUGAAUCUGAUUAUAAUAGUGAAGCUUUAUAUGCUGACAGUGAUAUUGAUGUUGGCCGUGAAGCGGAUGAUGAUGCUCGUGUUUGCUGUGAAGCGGAUGAUGAUGCUCGUGCUGGCCGUGAAGCUGAUCAUGAUGCAAGCUAGUGCUGGUCGUGCGAACUGUGUAGUACCAGAUCACAAAGUUUUUUUUUUUUGCUGAUUUGGUUCUAACAAUGGUCAUCUGUAGCUAGUGCUGACCGUGACCACUGAGUACUAGAAGAUCACAAACUGUCUUCUUUUUGGCGAUUUGAGGUUCAACAAUGGUCAUCUGUAGCAACCAUUCCUUUUGGAUGCUUGAAUCUGACCAGUAGUUGAAAUAUGUUGUAUGGACACAAAAUGAUAUCUUUGACUUCCUGUAAUGUUCGUUAUGAUUUGGAUGAUGAAUGCAAGGUUGUGUUGAUGUCAUGCAUCUAA